AUUGAACGCUGGCGGCAUGCUUUACACAUGCAAGUCGAACGGUAACAGGCCGCAAGGUGCUGACGAGUGGCGAACGGGUGAGUAAUGCAUCGGAACGUGCCCAGUCGUGGGGGAUAACUACUCGCAUGAGUAGCUAAUACCGCAUACGAUCUAUGGAUGAAAGCGGGGGACCGUAAGGCCUCGCGCGAUUGGAGCGGCCGCUGUCAGAUUAGGUAGUUGGUGGGGUAAAGGCUCACCAAGCCAACGAUCUGUAGCUGGUCUGAGAGGACGACCCGCCACACUGGAACUGAGACACGGCCCAGACUCCUACGGGAGGCAGCAGUGGGGAAUUUUGGACAAUGGGCGAAAGCCUGAUCCAGCAAUGCCGCGUGCAGGAAGAAGGCCUUCGGGUUGUAAAAUGCUUUUGUACGGAACGAAACGGCUCUGGUUAAUACCCGGGGCUAAUGACGGUACCGUAAGAAUAAGCACCGGCUAACUACGUG
rnacentral:rRNA from 1 species